rnacentral:lncRNA from 10 species
GCUGCCUCUGCUGUGUCAUAUAGGACACCAGGGAAGUGGGGGAAAGCCAGCAGUGACAGGCCUCACCCAGCUUCCAAGCAGCCAGAAAGACCAGUCUCACUCCCACUGUGCCCCCCACAGCACUGAGUUUGUUUCCAGGCAGCUGGUGAGCAGGGCUGAGAACUUGCCCCAGGCUACAAGCCUCCCUGCUGAGAAAGCAAGCAGGGCUUCAUGUCUCCCCACCUGCUGUGGCUUCUGUGCUUGUAGCUGCAGUCCCUGUUCAUCCCCUCCCCUGGAUUCUGUCCAGGAAACUUUGCAUUUGGUUGAUAUUGUUACAAAGUUCAGCUGGAAGUUUUCUUCUCCCUGUGGUCUUUCUUCAAUUCCACUGGCAGCUCUCCUCAAGGACUCCUGUAAGACAAAGUCAUAAAUGGCAUACCUGGGGACCAAGAGUGCCCACAGUCUCUUCCCGCUGCUUCCUCUACCCCAUAUUUUGCUUGGCUCUCUAAAUUCAUCUCAGCUUCAGAGAGGUCAAAAGUCCGUCUGACUCACCUGUGCUGAGUGACUUGAAUGCCAUCUAAUCUAACUUCAAGAUCAUCAGGAUACUUGCCAACAAGGUCACAGUGGACUCCAUGGAGCAACUGCCCUCAGGAGGCAACAGGUUCUUUUUGAGGGGAGUCUCUCUGAUGCUUGGAAUGAAUCCUGCUGAAUCAAUGCUGAUGCUUGGAGAUCUUCAAGUCUUUUCCCUUUUUCCCAUUGCUCAUGAUGUCUAUAUAACCUCCAAACAUGCAUCCCACUCCUCUGCCGAAAGACCAUUUUUUUAUAUCUUCAGUGAUGGUCUAGGCCAGGUUAAUUGACUUUUCUUUUUUCUUAAGCCAACUAAAGUCCUCACCACAAAUUAAUGUUAUGUUUUGACUGACUCAUUGGGCCUGAACAAUAAUGUUAUUUCUCGCAGUGCACUAAAAAGGGAGUAGAAAGGGAAAGGUGGAUGUAUUUCUUAAUUUUCUGUAAUCUAAGUACUGAAAUCUCACUUUUACAACAAAGGCAGCUUUGAUAUAAUUUUUGGAAACAAGCUUUCUGCUGAGCUGGUUGUGAAAUCUCAUUGGUUGGAGAGAAUUCAAGUGCAUGUCAGUGAGCACAGGUGCUGGAAGUUGUAGGUAAGGAGUCAGGAGUGCAGUCUACAGGUGCAGAAAAAAGAUUUUCAUGGAGACCCCCAGCUCUAAAUGUAGUUGCUCAAAAGGUGGACUUUGCCAUUCACUUAUGUGAAGCCCUUUGAAAAUCUGACAUUUCUGUGGGCCUGUUAGUGGCGAGCCAGAGGGGCUUGCCAGCUUAGAGGUUAAUUGUGCUAAUUAACAGAAAGGACAGAGGCUUCAGAAAGUGCCUCUGUGGACUGGAAAAUUUUCCCAAUAUUUCAUUAGGGUGACUUUGAAAAGGUUGCAGGCAAAUGGCACCUUUCACUUUAAAAAUCUAAACCAUGGCUUUUUAACCAUUUUUAAAGUUUGAGUUUGAAAAGUCCACUUUUAGUGUUAUUUAGAAACUCGUCCUAUGGGAAGUCUGGAGGAAAGGAAAGACUACAUUUUUAAGUGCAUCAUUCUCGCCUUUCAUUCCUUUAUGCUUAGCUUUUUAUUUCUUGGCACUUAUUUUAAAAGCCUUAUUCUCUCCUCCUCCCAGUGCAAACCCACGCCAUAUCCCUGAAUCUGUUGUGGAAGAACAGACUGGAAGACAUCUGCCUCUUGCCUUAUUUUUUUUAAUUCCUCUAAAUGAUAGAGCCAAGUCUCCACACCAGAGCUCCCUCUCCCUGAACAAACCAAAUGGUGGCUGUUGGCAGUGCAUUGACAGCUUGUUAAUGGAGGAAUCCUUGACAGUGUGACAACCUGCCUGGGCUGCCGCGGGAAGCCAAAUCCGCCCCCACACAAACCCGAGUAAUUAACAGGUGGGGAAAAAUAGCAAGUAACUGCUGCUGAGGAGAGGAAAAAUAGUCAACCUAGUGAAUUAUGUAUAUUAAAGUAUAAUAUCUCUUUUGCAAUCCCUUUCCUAGUUCUUACUAGCAAGCUCUACUGGAAAGUGGUUUGACUUUGGAGUCAGGUGAGCCUGGAUUUGAAUCAAAGUUUGGCCACCUACUGGCUGUGUGUGACUUUGGGAAAAUUCCCUUCACUGAACCUCCAUUUGUGAUCAGUACUGUGGUCAGAUACUAUUUGUGAAGGCACAAUUAUAGAUGCCACUUAUCGGUGUUCAAUUGUCAAAACCUCUUUUUAUGAUGAUGGAUUUGCCAAAUUGUUCUUGUAGUUCUGUCAAGUUUUGUUUUUUUUUAAUAUCGUGAGGUAAUUUUUUGGUUCAUUAAGUUUGAAAUUGUUAUUUCUACUUGGCGAAUUGGGCCUUUUAUCAUUAGACAGUGACUUCCUUUUUCUCUAGUCAUACUUUUCGUCUUGAAAUUAUUUUUUGUGAUGUUAUUUUAUGUGCUGAUAUAUAUACACACACACACACACACAUGCACACACAAACACAUAUAUAUAUAUUCCAUUUAUUUGAUAGUAUUUCUGUGCUUUUAGGUUUCAUGAGGUUAGGGGUAUAGGAUGAAGGGUAUAGAGAAGGGGAGGGCUCUGGUUACCUAUUGCUUGGUUAAGGCGUCCACACUUGUUGGGCUGACUGUCUAGACAUCCUCUCUCCCAGCUCCCUCAAACCCAAAAUAUAUUUGCAUGAAUUCCAAUAAAGAAAUCUUCUCAGAGAAGCAUGUGCUGGUACCACCCACACCAGCUGGAACAUUUUUCUCUCAGCUCUGACCUACACUAGAAAAUACGUGGAAGGAAUUUUUCAAAACUUAGAUCUGUAGCUCUUGAUAUAAUACCAGGGGCUAAAAUGAAUUUAGGAGACAUUCAAGGCUGUUUAAAAUAGUUAUUUUCAAGCUUUCUUCAGUCUUAGAUCUCUUUGUGAAUGUGAUGAAAGCUCUGGACUCUUGCCUCAGGAAAAAUGCAAAAACACAAGAUUUUCAAACUUUAGCUGAUCCUAUUUUUAUGUCCUAAAGUUCCGGAGGCUCCAGGUAAAAGGGCCGCUAUUUAAAUACUCAUGUUGCAAACAUUAAGGGAUAAAAGGCAGGAUGGAAAAUUUAAACACAUGCAAAUAUAUUGGUCAGAAUGGUGGACUGUGCAGUCCUGGCAGAAAAUUUGCUGCCUAUUCUUUUCUAGGGUGGGCUCAGAUUUAUCAGUGAGGCCAUGCCCUGAGCAGAAUUGCCCUGUGGCAAAGGAAACCUGAGCUGAGGACUAAAUGAGAAAGUCCAGAACCGGUGAAUGCACAUGACCCCAGCUGAAAGUCUCUAGGAAACAUCCCCCCAAGGAGGGCUUCAUAACCCAGGGCUCACUGAAGAAAAUUCCAAUUGAAGAUAAGCUGAGGAGAAAAUAUCACAAAACACUGAAAAACACCACUAUGAGAGGUAAGUCUAGCAGAUGCAACAAAUAGAGCGUUCAUGCCCAAGAAAGUAGAAGUAAUAAAAUCAGCUGAAAAAGUACUUUAAUAUAAGUAUGUUGAAAAUAUUGAAAGUUUAAAAAAGGAUAGAAUCCAUAAAAAUGGAGAUAAUGGAAGAGGACGGAAAAACUUGGGGAAAAAUAGCUAGUUUCAGAAACAAAAAAUAUUGGUAUGGGUAUGGAGGAAACUUUAAGGACACUUUAAUCAGCAGACUACACAGGAUUAAGAAGUGAAUAAGUAAAACAGAAAGAUUAUCAGAGGAAGUCAUCCAGAAUACAGCAGAGAUAGAAAAAGAGUUGAGGGCUAAGAAAGAGAAGUUGAAGAAUGGAAGAAUUUGAAAUUUCACCCUAGACACACAGUAAUGAAAUUACAACAUUCAUGUAUCAUGGGAAAGUUCUAAAAGUUAUCAGGCAGAAGAGACAGAUUAUUUUAAAAAGUCAGUAUCAGACAAAAGGCAGACUGUUGUUAUCAGUAAUAGAUACCAGGAAAUAAACAGGAAAUAAAUAAAAAUAUCUGCAGGGCACUGAGGCAAAAUUGUGUGAAUACAUAUCUUACUAAUGCAAAUGAUGCAAAAACCAAAACAAACCAAAACAAAAACUGAACACCUGCUGGAAAUGUGUUCACGUUGAAUUCAUUCUGGUUGGUUAAAUUUAAAAAGACGAUUAUUUUUAUCUCAAUAUUUCUGUAUUGUUCACAUUCCGUGUAAUAAACAUGAUUUACUUAUGUAAUAAAAUGAAUAUUAAAAAAACAAAUAAUCUGAGUUGAAAUUAUA